UCUUUUUUUUUUUUUUUUUUUUUUUGAGACGGAGUCUCGCUCUGUAGCCCAGACUGGAGUGCAGUGGCGUCAUCUUGGCUCACUGCAGGCUCUGCCUCCUGGGUUCACGCCAUUCUCCUGCCUCAGCCUCCUGAGUAGCUGGGACUACAGGCGGCCGCAACCACACCUGGCUAAUUUUUUUUUUUUUUGUAUUUUCAGUAGAGACGGGGUUUUACUGUGCUAGCCAGGAUGAUCUCGAACUCCUAACCUUGUGAUCCGCCCGCCUCGGCCUCCCAAAGUGCUGGGAUUACAGGCGUGAGCCACCGCGCCCAGCCUCCAUUCUCCCUUUCUUAUGCCAAGCCAAAGGCUAUGUGCUGGAUGCCUGAACCUGCAGGACUUGGACAAGGUGGAGUUUCUCCCAACACUUUUCACAUAAAAGUUCCUAUGAUGACCCUGCCUUGAGGGCAGAGACAGAGGAUCUGGCUUCCAGUACUUGUUUGUCCCUUCCAGGCACCUAACAUGCUGCCAGGCACCCACUAGACAAUUGGUACCAUCUGCCCAUGAGGCCCAGCCUGUCAAGACAACCACAACCAGCACAGACCACACCAUCCUGAGGAGACCCUCAG